ensembl:lincRNA Gm20752 predicted gene, 20752
UCUAUUGCAACCUUUAUUCAGUUGUGAUAGCCAGCUGAGGUAAAGUCACCAGAGGCCAACCAUGGAGGGCAGAAGAGCACCCCGAAGCCUUCAAUAGGCACAGCUUCUGAGAUGUUUGAUAGGGCCUAUGUACAGGGCCACUUUUAUGCUUCUGAUUGCUUUUUUGGAUUUUUUUUCUGUGCCAUGCUACUGGGUGUUCUGUCCUCAAUUCCCUUGACACAAGGGAAGGAAGAAUUCCAUCCAGAAGCAGCCUUGUGUCAGCACUUGCUCCCAGAUUGUCAGAAAACAACUCCAGCAUCCUGCAACAAGGAACUACUUUGUAUUUCUAGCAUGAAAAACAAAAGUGCUGGAAAAUAGAAGCCUAUGGCCAGGAACAAACAAAAAAAGGAGAUAUAUGGACAAGGAGAACUGGAAGGAAGAAUUCUGGAUAUUAGAGGCCCCCAGCACAUAUACAGCAGAGGACUUCUGGGUCUGCACUCAGUCAGAGAAGAUGCACCUAACCCUCAAGAGGCAGGAAGCCUCAGAGAGUGGGGAGGUCUGAUGGAGGAGGAGAUGGGGUUGCUCUGAAGAUAAGCAACAGCCACUUGGUGUGUUGCCCUAUGAAGAAACACACUCAUAAGCGAAGGAUGCUUCAAGCCAACAACUCUUAAGAAACAAAAGCCUAUAAAUAACCAGGAUCAUCGACAGCUGCUGUGGGUCUCAGAGCAGUUGACCAAAGCAGUCCAAAAUGAGCAGAGGGGGGACAGCGUGGAUGUUCCUGUUGUUGAGGAUACUUCCUGUGGUGAUGACUGAAGAUCCACGCUGGGGAAUCUUAUCGGUGUUUCCCAAACCAUGCCGUUGACACAUUCGGCACAAGUGUUCCCUCGAUUUUUCACAUCUAAUGCUUCACUGCAGUUACCCUUUUUACCAUGGGAUGGGGAAAUAGCGCCUGUGCAGGAACCGAUGCAGCUUCAGUUGAGGGGAUUGCUGUGCUUUCAAAUGAUUCAAAAUAUUUCUCAGAAUAGUGGCUGCUUUCAAAAGUAUAAUCAAACAGCAGCAUGGUUUGAUAUGCCAAUUAAUAGUUCUACUAAAGCUAAUGCCACAUGGAUUCAAGGGGUGUGGCCUGCCAGUAUUUCCAAAGGCAAAGAUACCAUACCUCCCCAACCUAGAUGGGCUCCCUUUUGCAAGGGUACCCAUGAUUCCCUUUCACCAUGGACUGGGUGUCAGUCUAGAAAGGCAGCUUGGGCUAUAAAGAAAUAUUUUACCUUUUCUCCUUAUAUUGGCACAGUGCAUAAUAGCUCAUUUUCAGGAUAUAAUUGGAACUAUCAAAAUCCAGCUCAAGUAGGAGCUAGUAAUCCUUUUAAUGUGUGCUUGUUGUGUGGUGUGAAUGGUAGUUGCACAGAUCUUUCUUCUCUGAGUAUGCUAGUGGGAGGGGUAUGGGGUAAUGCAAGUUUUUAUUGGAAUGGGUCUAGUGUAUUUGAAACCUCUUUAUCUCAACUUGCUGGAGGGCACAAUGCUUCCUUUAAGGCUACGCCUGUUUGUUUGUGGCCUCCUUUUGUGUUUAUUGUUUAUAAUGGUAGUUAUGAGAAUAAUGUUGUUAAUUUGUUAUUAUAGUAUGUGCUGGAAUGCAUCUGAAUAUCAUUUAGCUGUUGUGACUAGGAUGCCUCGCUUUGUACCUUGGCCUGUCCAAGCUCUUUCUGCUAUGACUUUGUUCAGACCUAAGAGGGAAUUUUGGCAUUACUGUGGCCAUUGUCACUGCUAUAGCAAUUUCUGCCACCGUAGCCAUGGCUGCGGCCAUAUCCCUUACCUCUGUGAUACAAACUGCCGCGGCUGUGAAUAAUUUAUCCACGGGUGUUGCAGAAUCUUUGGAUGUUCAGGGAAAUAUUAAUAGCCAGCUGAAAGCAGGGAUUUUAUUGCUGAAUCAAAGGAUUGAUUUAGUCUAGGAACAAGUGGAUGUUUUGAUGGACCUAGCACAAUUGGGUUGUGAGUGGAAAUAUUCGGGAUUGUGUGUUACAACUAUACCAUUUGUGAAUGCCAGUCAUGCUGCUCACUUAUCUUGCAAUAUAUCCCAGUACAUUACAGGAAAUUGGUCUCAGCAUUUUGAUGGAUUGGUUCAGGAAUUGAGACAAUCCAUCGUCCAUAUUAACUCCACCCAUGUGGACGUGUCCAUGGCUGAAGUACUGGCCAGCUGGAUCUAUAGCUGUCUCCCGCUUGAAAGAGUGGGCCAGAAUUGGUGGACUUGCCUUGUGUCUGAUAUUAAUCAGCAUCCUGGCCUUUUGAUGCAUUUGCCGUAUACAGUUUCAUCAGUGCAGAACCCAAGCCUUGAUGAUACAGGCUUUUGCAGCAGUGGAGACAGGAUAGUCUCCUCAAGUGUGGCUUGGCAUGCUAAAGAAGUAGUCAAUGAUGCGUAAGACUCCCUGGGUGUGUCACCAACCUAAGACAGGGAUCAAACCAAAGCUGUUUGUCUCCCAAUGAUGGGUAAGGGGCAUUGCUUCAGGGGGCAACCUAAGACAGGCAUUCUCUCUGCCAAAAAAGAGAAAAGGGGUAGAUGUGGGGAGCGGGUGUGGCGGUAGUCCCAGGAUGGCACCUGGGACUGCAGCCAAGUCUUAUGACUUGCACCUGACUUCCUCAUACACCCGAAAAUAAGCCACGUCCAUCGUGAGAGCUACACAGGCACAACAUGAUGCAAGAUCAGGCCAUUUGACAAAGGCCAAUGAACUGAGAUUAUGUGGACUGGGCUGAUGGGGAAUGGUUGAGAGGUUAUAUAAGGGAUUGCGAUUGAGGGCUAGAGAGAGAUUCCUGCUUGCAUGUUGAAAGGUUCCUGAAUAAACUACUUUGAG